rnacentral:rRNA from 1 species
UACCGCGGCUGCUGGCACGGAGUUAGCCGGUGCUUCUUCUGCAGGUAACGUCAACACUGACCGGUAUUAACGAUCAGCUUUUCCUCCCUGCUGAAAGUGCUUUACAACCCUAAGGCCUUCUUCACACACGCGGCAUGGCUGGAUCAGGGUUGCCCCCAUUGUCCAAUAUUCCCCACUGCUGCCUCCCGUAGGAGUCCGGGCCGUGUCUCAGUCCCGGUGUGGCUGAUCAUCCUCUCAGACCAGCUACGGAUCGUCGCCUUGGUAGGCCAUUACCCCACCAACUAACUAAUCCGACAUGGGCCCAUCCAAUAGCGCGAGCCUAAGCCCGCUUUCCCCCUCAGGGCGUAUGCGGUAUUAAUCCGGGUUUCCCCGGGCUAUCCCCCACUACUGGGUAAGUUCCCAUGCGUUACUCACCCGUCCGCCGCUCGCCAGCCUCCCGAAGGAGCUGCUGCCGCUCGACUUGCAUGUGUUAGGCCUGCCGCCAGCGUUCAAUCUGAGCCAUGAUCAAACUC